CUCUCUUCUUAAAGUUCUGGAGUCUAAUUUACCAUCCAUUCUUCUGUCCAACGCCAUGGGCCAUGACUACAGAGAAUAAGCUUGAUCCCGGGGUUGAGAGAUGAAGAAAUAGGUGAAAGAAGGAAAAUUAUAACCGAGAAGACCUAUCCAUAAAUAAGGUCUCUGUGUUCAGAUAUCAGGUCCGAAUCCAGUUGCUCUACGGACACCAAGGUUGACAUCACAUGAAUUUGAGAUUUCUAGCUAAUGAAUGGAACUUACUUGCAUUAACGUUAGAAGAUAUAUUUGUGUUUUGUACAAAAAGUAAUGGUACAUAAAAUACAUUUUGUAUGUACAGCUCUAAUGCAAUGGCAAUUAAGAUACUAGCCUUUACUGAAAAACUUUAGGUAGAUUUGUAUACCAAAUGAAUCAUGUUUGGCCCAACCUUGCUAGUUGUAAUUAAAGUAGAAGAUAGAGAAAAUACUCAAGUAUGUGUCCUGAGUAGAUUAUCUACUCAUGUCAUGACCUUAA